CCUACGGGAGGCAGCAGUGGGGAAUAUUGCACAAUGGGGGAAACCCUGAUGCAGCGACGCCGCGUGAGUGAAGAAGUAUUUCGGUAUGUAAAGCUCUAUCAGCAGGGAAGAAACCCACCCUCCGGGGUGGCUGACGGUACCUGACUAAGAAGCCCCGGCUAACUACGUGCCAGCAGCCGCGGUAAUACGUAGGGGGCAAGCGUUAUCCGGAUUUACUGGGUGUAAAGGGAGCGUAGGUGGCAAGGCAAGUCAGAUGUGAAAACCCGGGGCCCAACCCCGGGAGUGCAUUUGAAACUGUCUGGCUAGAGUGCAGGAGAGGUAAGUGGAAUUCCUAGUGUAGCGGUGAAAUGCAUAGAUAUCUGGAGGAACAUCAGUGGCGAAGGCGACUAUCUGGCACAUAACUGACGCUGAGGAGCGAAAGCGUGGGUAGCAAACAGGAUUAGAUACCCCAGUAGUC
rnacentral:rRNA from 1 species